AGAGUUUGAUCCUGGCUCAGAAUCAACGCUGGCGGCGUGCCUAACACAUGCAAGUCGAACGCGAAAGCCCGCAAGGGUAAGUAGAGUGGCGCACGGGUGAGUAACACGUGGACAACCUGCCUUCGAGUGGGGAAUAACCUUCCGAAAGGAGGGCUAAUACCGCAUAACACCUCGGAGCACAAGUUCUGGGGUUGAAAAGAGCAAUUUGCUCGAAGAGGGGUCCGCGCCUGAUUAGCUAGUUGGUGAGGUAACGGCUCACCAAGGCUUCGAUCAGUAGCCGUCCUGAGAGGGAGCACGGCCACACUGGAACUGAGACACGGUCCAGACUCCUACGGGAGGCAGCAGUGGGGAAUUUUUGGCAAUGGGCGAAAGCCUGACCAAGCAACGCCGCGUGGGUGAUGAAGUAUCUUGGUACGUAAAACCCUUUCGGCAGGGACGAACCUAAUGACGGUACCUGCGGAAGAAGCCCCGGCUAACUCCGUGCCAGCAGCCGCGGUAAUACGGGGGGGGCAAGCGUUGUUCGGAAUUACUGGGCGUAAAGGGCGCGUAGGCGGUUGGAUAAGUCAGCUGUGAAAACCACGGGCUUAACUCGUGGCCUGCAGUUGAGACUGUCUGGCUUGAGUGUGGGAGAGGAGAGUGGAAUUCCUGGUGUAGCGGUGAAAUGCGUAGAUAUCAGGAGGAACACCGGUGGCGAAGGCGGCUCUCUGGACCACAACUGACGCUGAGGCGCGAAAGCUAGGGGAGCAAACAGGAUUAGAUACCCUGGUAGUCCUAGCUGUAAACGAUGGAUACUUGCUGUGGGGGGUGUUAAAUCCCCCUGUGGCGGAGCUAACGCAUUAAGUAUCCCGCCUGGGGAGUACGGUCGCAAGGCUGAAACUCAAAUGAAUUGACGG
rnacentral:rRNA from 1 species